GCAAAGGUGCAAGCGAGCUGGACAGUAUUGGACAGUAUUUUUUCAUCAAUACUGUCCAGCUCGCUUGCACCUUUGC
rnacentral:pre_miRNA from 1 species